rnacentral:rRNA from 1 species
AACGAACGCUGGCGGCAUGCCUAACACAUGCAAGUCGAACGAGACCUUCGGGUCUAGUGGCGCACGGGUGCGUAACGCGUGGGAACCUGCCUUUAGGUUCGGAAUAACUCAGAGAAAUUUGAGCUAAUACCGGAUGAUGUCUUCGGACCAAAGAUUUAUCGCCUUUAGAUGGGCCCGCGUUGGAUUAGCUAGUUGGUGGGGUAAAGGCCUACCAAGGCGACGAUCCAUAGCUGGUCUGAGAGGAUGAUCAGCCACACUGGGACUGAGACACGGCCCAGACUCCUACGGGAGGCAGCAGUGGGGAAUAUUGGACAAUGGGCGAAAGCCUGAUCCAGCAAUUCCGCGUGAGUGAUGAAGGCCUUAGGGUUGUAAAGCUCUUUUACCCGAGAUGAUAAUGACAGUAUCGGGAGAAUAAGCUCCGGCUAACUCCGUG